AUUGAACGCUGGCGGCAUGCCUUACACAUGCAAGUCGAACGGUAACAGGUCUUCGGAUGCUGACGAGUGGCGAACGGGUGAGUAAUACAUCGGAACGUGCCUAGUAGUGGGGGAUAACUACUCGAAAGAGUGGCUAAUACCGCAUGAGAUCUACGGAUGAAAGCAGGGGAUCGCAAGACCUGGUGGUACUAGAGCGGGCGAUGGCAGAUUAGGUGGUUGGUGGGCUAAAAGCUUACCAAGCCGACGAUCUGUAGCUGGUCUGAGAGGACGAUCAGCCACACUGGGACUGGGACACGGCCCAGACUCCUACGGGAGGCAGCAGUGGGGAAUUUUGGACAAUGGGCGCAAGCCUGAUCCAGCAAUGCCGCGUGCAGGAUGAAGGCCUUCGGGUUGUAAACUGCUUUUGUACGGAACGAAAAGCCCUGGGUUAAUACCCUGGGGUCAUGACGGUACCGUAAGAAUAAGCACCGGCUAACUACGUGCCAGCCGCCGCAGUAAAAC
rnacentral:rRNA from 1 species